UCAGAGUCCAUAUAGGGAUGUGGUGAUGUGCUUCUGCAGUUCUGGUGCUCCUAAAACUACUUAACUGUGUCCAACACUGGCCAACAACCAACCAACAACCUCACCUGCCUUUGUGGCCCUAGCAUUUAUAUACCCUCUAAAAAGUCCUCAGAAUUCCAAACAUUACACAACUGCAGAAGGCAUCUACAGCUGGAAAAAUCACACCCCUGCUGGAGCAUGAGGCAAAUCAUAGUCAGCUGCUGUGAACAGUCUGAAGAAGCCCUAUAUCUCACACCUGGGAUCAAAACAAAAACAUAUAUUAUUUCUCUCUCUCUCUCUCUCUCUCUCUCUCUCUCUCUCUGUGUGUGUGUGUGUGUGUGUGUGUGUGUGUGUUUUAUUUUUUAAGAAACCAAAACUCCAAAAUGUCACUACAUUUCCCCCACUUCUGUUUUGUACCAUUCAUUGUGUUGUGUGUAGUGGGAAGUUAUAAACAGAGGCAUUUUCAAUGAAGUAAGUACUUUUCAGAUCAAUAGCCAAGGUUUUCAGGAGACCUCUCCUGCUCAAUUCUAAUUUUUGUCAGUUUUGAUGGCAUCCACAAUUUUUCAUUUCCUGUGGAAAUAUAAGCAAAUCCAUGUCCCCAAUGCAAAACUUUCUUGGGCUUCCCUUCUGAUCUUAAUAAAUCCUUAUAGUACAUAGACAGAUUUAAUUCCACAUUUUUCUUGUUUUUUUUUUAAUCUUUCAGCUUUAUUGGAGUUAGUUAGACAAUAGGAAAGGAGUUGUUGUCCAGAUCACAAGAGAUUCAUAAUCAGUUGUUAUCCUAUAAUAAUUCCACAUUUUUCUAUGACCUAGAGACUCUUUUGUCGAAUGUUGAGUUUAUCUGUCUACGUGUUACUCCUUGGCUGAAACCGCUCAUAUUUUUGCUGUGGGGCCUCAAGCUAGACUUCCAAAGUCAUUUCCUGAUGAACAAGAUGUAGAACUCUCAACUACUCCACCAUGUCUGUCUGAAUACUGCCAUGCUUCUGGCCAUAAUGAUGAUGGACUGAACCCCUGAACCUGUAAGCCACCCCCAGUUAAAUGCUGUUGUCCCUUAUGUGAGUUGCCUUGGCCAUGGUGUGUCUUCUCAGCAAUGGAAACUCUGAGAAACCCAGCAACCGAUCUUUUACUAUAUUCAUUCCUCUUGCUCUAUUUUUACUGUUCAAUAUUCUCAGC
rnacentral:lncRNA from 1 species